ACAAAGCCAUGAGACACAGGUAGUACUGAAAUCUUAAAGGUUACCAGAUACUCCCCAAGUGCCACAGAGUAGGAACGGUUUUGUGCGUAAAUGGACCUACAGGACUAGGAAUCACUGUUGGGGUGGUUAGAAAUGAGUUCUGGGAAGACCAUGUGUCAUGGAUAGAUGUGGGUGUCAUCAGGGCAGAAGCUAAGGUCUUCAGAGAAUAAUACUUCCCUGCCGCUGUCUCCAGUGUGCACUGCACAGAGACCAUUGGGAAAUCUCAAUCUCCUUUGCAUACUCAGAUUAUAGACCCCCGUCUCUGAUUCACAGUGGCAUCUUCUGUUGUGACCACAGGCAAAGACUCUCAAGGCAAAUGGCAGCUUCCAUGCCUAGUUCGUGCUCUGAGACACCAGUGUGGCCACUACCUCUAGCUCUGUCAGCUGGGAAGACACCCUUUUAUCCAUUCAAACUCCCAGUAAGAUCCUGGCUGCCAGAGCCAAGAGUACAUUCACUUCUGACACGGUAGAGGGUUAUUUCUCCACCAUAUUCUUAUUGGGACAACUGUUGUUUUUUGCUUUUCAGUAUUUUCCAGUAUGCUUUAUGCCUUCCCAAAAUUUCAUUGAUUCCAGUUCCUACACACACACACACGAGAGAGAGAGAGAGAGAGAGAGAGAGAUUCCUUCAAACACUUGGAGCUGUCUCCCUCUGUAUCCUCACACAGACACUCACUUCUAUCUUGUUUGAUAGAACCUUAGUGCAGACUGGCAAAGGUUAUUUAACUUUUUGUUCAUUUUGAACCCAUAGUGAGUAUUCUACCAUCUUGGCCUAGCCAUUGGAAAAAGUCCUUAAUCUUUAUCAAGCAGAAUGUGGAGGAAUGAAGAGAACAAAUUCAUCACAACACCUAGAAUAGAAUUAGUCC
ensembl:lincRNA Gm42708 predicted gene 42708